rnacentral:lncRNA from 1 species
UUCUUGCUGACAACGAAAGGUCCCUCCCAAGGGGGCGAAAGCUUGUGCAUGCCUGCCCUAUCUUGUAUCAGUCGAAGCACCAAAUCGCCUUCCUGGAAGGUCCGACUCUUCACCCGGCGACUGUGAUAACGCCGCAGAUCUUGCUGAUAGAUCGCUGAACGAGACACUGCUAAGUCACGUGCCUCUUCCAAGGCGUCCAAAGAGUCCUGACGCGCCAGCUCGUUGUCCUGCUCCACAUAUGCG